CCUACGGGAGGCUGCAGUGGGGAAUAUUGGGCAAUGGGCGCAAGCCUGACCCAGCAACGCCGCGUGAAGGAAGAAGGCUUUCGGGUUGUUAACUUCUUUUAAGAGGGAAGAGCAGAAGACGGUACCCCUUGAAUAAGCCACGGCUAACUACGUGCCAGCACCCGCGGUAAUACGUAGGUGGCAAGCGUUUUCCGGAUUUACUGGGUGUAAAGGGCGUGCAGCCGGGAAGACAAGUCAGAUGUGAAAUCCCGCGGCUCAACCGCGGAACUGCAUUUGCAACUGUUUUUCUUGAGUACCGGAGAGGUCAGCGGAAUUCCUUGUGUAGCGGUGAAAUGCGUAGAUAUAAGGAAGAACACCAGUGGCGAAGGCGGAUGACUGGACGGCAACUGACGGUGAGGCGCGAAAGCGUGGGGAGCAAACAGGAUUAGAUACCCCUGUAGUC
rnacentral:rRNA from 1 species